GGCCCAGCCCAUGUGUGAUAUUGUCCGCUCUGGGCCCUACGGCCCGCACGGUUUUGUUCUUGGGGGAAAUGGGAAACUUCCCAGGAGGUCACCCAUCCUAGGAUUUCCGUUAAGCGAGCACGCUUAACCUCGGAGUUCUUCCAACUCUCCAGCCAUUUGACCACCAAAAGGCCUCACACAUGUUUUAAAUCGCCCACCUUAAGUACAUCACUUCCCUCUCGCACUUAACCGAUGUGGGAUUCGCCUAAGGUGAGUGCACUGUGAGUGCACUGUCACUACAGCCACCGCUCACCCCC
rnacentral:lncRNA from 1 species